CUUGGUCCCUGAGCUGCUGGGCUCUCAGCCCCUCUGGCCUUGUACCCCUGCCCUAGCCCUUCCUGCACCUCUGGACCCCCUGGGGGCACUGCUCCCUCAUUACCUUCUCCAGUCUGUCUCUAUCUCCUGCAGCCCCAACAGGGAGCUCUGCAGCACCUGCUGAUAGAGGAGGAAGAACUAUGGAUCGGAACUAAUUCCCAAGGGGAAGGUCAGAGGACGUGAAGACAAGAAAAAUGACCCCGGUCCAGGCGUGAGCAGUGUGGUCUAUCAAGGAAGACUUCCUGGAGGAGGCGGGAUUCAGGCGCAGCAUCGGACAGCAGAUGGCAGCAGCGUAGCAUUGGGGUAGCCCUGAGACCACAGAGCAGAGGGCAGCAGAGCGGGAGGAACCAGGGGAGCUUGGCUCCGCAGCCCCAGGGUCUGGGUUCAAGUUCUAACAGGACAAGCUCACCCCCUGAAAUCGCAUCACCAUGGAGACGGAUUCGGCUUCGAUGCUCGACCCCCGGCCAGCUACCUCAGCUGCCUC